AUUUGAAACAUUAGAUGAACCUAUUGAAAUGCAGAUUGUGAGUCAGAAGGUCUGGGUAUAUCCCAAGAUUCUACAUUUUUAACAAUUUCCUGAGUGAUUCAGAU
rnacentral:pre_miRNA from 1 species